rnacentral:rRNA from 1 species
GACGUAGGGCGCGAGCGUUGUCCGGAUUUAUUGGGCGUAAAGAGCUCGUAGGCGGCUUGUCGCGUCGACUGUGAAAUCCCGCGGCUCAACUGCGGGUCUGCAGUCGAUACGGGCAGGCUAGAGUUCGGUAGGGGAGACUGGAAUUCCUGGUGUAGCGGUGAAAUGCGCAGAUAUCAGGAGGAACACCGAUGGCGAAGGCAGGUCUCUGGGCCGAUACUGACGCUGAGGAGCGAAAGGCGUGGGGAGCGAACAGG